GAUGUUAAUCUGAGACUGCGAACGCAUAAAUGUUAAAUAUCAAGCCCUGAGCCAGUGACUGGACAUUCCUUAUGUGUUGUAACGUGUACUGUAUAUAAUAGUCAGUAAUUACUCUCCAUGUGAAUACACCUUCAUUGUACUGUAUUGUACUUGUCAGUAUUACAUGAGCUGCAACAUUGCAGGAUACAGCGACAGCUUCACUUCACAAAAAAAAAAAACGUCCAGUUAAUGCUAAAUAACAAAUCCACAGGUCGGACGAGAAUAGGGAUCGGCGCUCGGUAUUAUCCGAGUGUAACGCCAUUAAAAGAAGUAACACGAUCCGAGACCUGAAUAUCUCGUCUGAAUCUUAAAUAAGCCUGGAGAAGACUAUCGUCCACGCUGAGCUCGUUUAAAAAGUCCGGGACGUGAUAAAUCGAGGAUUCGCUACACGUUGCGAUUUUUUUCCCUUCCUGCUGUCUCCUGUGGAUGCUCUGUUCUGUCUCGGUGAUAAAUAAGGCUGCGUUGUAGUUCUUGAACCGUGUUUUAAACUCCGCCGUCAGCCCUGGGUGAGGUCUCGUGCACGUGUGCGGUGCUCUGUUACAGAAAAGUCGUCGUGCAUACGCUUUUAACCCUGUGACCCGUGAAGAAAGUUUCAGGAACACGCUCAGUACAGUACAGAACCUGCUGUAUGUUGAUAUGAAUAUGAAAACAACAAGACUCACCAUGUAGAGCUAGCACUGGUGUUUUAUUAUUAUUAUUAUUAUUAUUAUUUAUUUUGGCCGGGUUCCAGCAGACAUUAUCGUUGAUAAGAUCUUUACACACCUCACAUCUGUGAUAAAACUAUGCGACCAUGUGAUUUCCACAGAAUGUUCCACUACCAGCUACAAGGUUGGUCUUCCUGUAAGAACCUGGAAUUAAGCCGAACGUGACCUAAAUCUCGCUUUUAUCAACCAUCGAAUCGUUCCGUAUAGCAUGUCCACAAAGGGAACUUAUUCCAGAUGCUAUGAAUAUGCAAAUUGGAAGCGCCCCCAACCAGACCGAGAAGGGCACUUAUUCCAGAUGCUAUGAAUAUGCAAAUUGGAAACGCCCCCAAACCAGACCGAGAUCAGAAUCGAUUUAUUCACCAAAUGUCUAAGUGCACAGGAACUUGUUAGAUCAGUACAAGCUCUACAAAAAAAAGUCCAGGCCUACAAAAGCGCAUGAAUGAAAUACGGUACAGUAUAUGAAAAAACAAACAAACAAAAAUGAUAAACACAAAAACAUAAUACGAAGAUCACAUUCAACGCUGCCGAGUGAAGGGAAGCUCCGUUCUGCUCCGCUCAGUUGUCCUUCCCUAGCAAAUCAGUGUUACGAGUUUUAGAAACUGUCCUGUAAUUUGCAUGGCCCUCAUUUGCAUAUUAAGACCCGAUAGGCUGUUAUAUUUUAUGAUGUAAUAACAUUUGCCGUGAUGUAUUCAGUAGUAACUCCAGCAAGGUUGUUUGUUUGUUUGUUUGUUUGUUUGUUUUUUUCCCAGUAAAACUGCUGCUGCCACAACAUUUGCAUCAAAUCGACUCCAAAAGAAUGAUUAAAGUAUAAAAGUAUGUUUUAUAAAAUGUAGUGUGACUUUGAUGGGAUUUAAAAGGAAGUUACAGAUCAAGGCUGGGGUAGCGUCACAGCUCACGGCUCCGGAUUAAUGAUCGUCGUGUAUUUUUAUUUUUUUUUAUUACAGUUUAAAAAGUUUCUCGACUGGAGUUACAGCUCUGGUCAUGUCAUGACGUGGAGGAAGUAGAGGAAUCGCAUCAUGUCAUCUCCAGGGUCCCAGGUUCGAUCCUGAUCUUGGGUUACGCUUAUGUGCGGAUUUUCACAUGUUGUCCACGUUGUCCAUGUGGGUUUCUCAAGGUUCUCCAGGUUCCUCCGGCAUCGGAAAAAACAUACCAGCAAGUGUAUCGGCUAUGCCAAAUUGCCCCUGGGUGUGUGAAUGACUGUGUGAAUGAGUGUGUUUCAUCCAGGGCGUAUUCCUGCCUCACCGCCCACAUGCACUCCAACCCUGACCAGGAUAAAGAGCUUACUGAAGCCGGAUGGAUGAAGACGAACAUUACGUUAGUACGGGUCUAACAUCUCAGAAUCUCAGACGGGAGAACUUUUCCUGAUCGGGCGAUGUCUGAAAUAGCUCCUCAGUCUUGCCAAACGUGAUUAAACUAAUGCCAUUAACACCACAGAACAUGUGGACUGGAAUGCUUUGAACUUUAAAAACAUGGAGAAGCGAGUCGGGUCCAGACUCGCUCGAUGCCAUGUGAAGACAGAUGAAUAUCAAUAAAUGUCGGAUCAGUUUAUAUUCAAGUUCUGCCACAGGGAUGAACCUGAAUACGAAUCCAUUACUCGAAAUGUGCAGAUGACGUGUCCUGAAGGGAUAUAAAUGGAUAUACCGUUCAUUUUCAACGAGAGCUGACGACUUCCGGCGAGACGUGGGCGUGUCCAGAGACGCGAAAACGUUGAGAAAAGUGUAACAAAUUCGGAGCGCCUUGGUGCGGCGACUACCAAUGGGAGUGAAGACGUCGCCGCAGAUCGACGGCCGCAGUGGCAAAAAGCGCGCACACGCGCACUGCUUCUCCUUCAUCUCGUUUCUAUAUGAUGCAUAUAUACAUCCAUCCAUCCAUCUUCUACUGCUUACUCCUUUUCAGGGUCAGGGGGAACCUGGAGCCUAUCCCAGGGAGCAUCGGGCACAAGGCGGGGUACACCCUGGACAGCGUAUGAUGCAUAUAUAUACUGGUUAAUUGUAUAUACAAACACUCUUUCUCUAGAAUGUUUUAAUUUUAUUGGCAAGAAAACUGGAUUGUUG
ensembl:lncRNA